rnacentral:rRNA from 1 species
UGGGGAAUAUUGGACAAUGGGCGAAAGCCUGAUCCAGCAAUGCCGCGUGAGUGAUGAAGGCCUUAGGGUUGUAAAGCUCUUUUACCCGGGAUGAUAAUGACAGUACCGGGAGAAUAAGCCCCGGCUAACUCCGUGCCAGCAGCCGCGGUAAUACGGAGGGGGCUAGCGUUGUUCGGAAUUACUGGGCGUAAAGCGCACGUAGGCGGCUUUGCAAGUUAGAGGUGAAAGCCCGGGGCUCAACUCCGGAAUUGCCUUUAAAACUGCAUCGCUAGAAUUGUGGAGAGGUAAGUGGAAUUCCGAGUGUAGAGGUGAAAUUCGUAGAUAUUCGGAAGAACACCAGUGGCGAAGGCGACUUACUGGACACAUAUUGACGCUGAGGUGCGAAAGCGUGGGGAGCAAACA